AGGAUUUUAAUUUAUUUAAAAAUAUUUAAAUUGCAUUUAAAAAAAAAUUAUAAUUAAUUAUAUCUUA
rnacentral:tRNA from 1 species